rnacentral:rRNA from 1 species
GAUGAACGCUGGCGGCGUGCCUAAUACAUGCAAGUCGAGCGAAUGGAUUAAGAGCUUGCUCUUAUGAAGUUAGCGGCGGACGGGUGAGUAACACGUGGGUAACCUGCCCAUAAGACUGGGAUAACUCCGGGAAACCGGGGCUAAUACCGGAUAACAUUUUGCACCGCAUGGUGCGAAAUUCAAAGGCGGCUUCGGCUGUCACUUAUGGAUGGACCCGCGUCGCAUUAGCUAGUUGGUGAGGUAACGGCUCACCAAGGCAACGAUGCGUAGCCGACCUGAGAGGGUGAUCGGCCACACUGGGACUGAGACACGGCCCAGACUCCUACGGGAGGCAGCAGUAGGGAAUCUUCCGCAAUGGACGAAAGUCUGACGGAGCAACGCCGCGUGAGUGAUGAAGGCUUUCGGGUCGUAAAACUCUGUUGUUAGGGAAGAACAAGUGCUAGUUGAAUAAGCUGGCACCUUGACGGUACCUAACCAGAAAGCCACGGCUACUACGUG